rnacentral:rRNA from 1 species
CACAGAUCACCUCAGAUCAGGCGAGACUACCCGCUGAAUUUAAGCAUAUUACUAAGCGGAGGAAAAGAAACUAACAAGGAUUCCCUCAGUAGCGGCGAGCGAAGAGGAGAGCCCAGCGCCGAAUCCCCGUCCCCUCCAGCCGGGGCGAGGGAACUGUGGCGUAAAGAAGACCGCUCUCUCUCGGCGCGGGCCGGGGGUCUAAGUCCUUCUGAUGGAGGCUUAGCCCGCGGACGGUGUGAGGCCGGUAAAGGCCCCCGCCGCCGGGGUACGGUUCUUCUCGGAGUCGGGUUGUUUGUGAAUGCAGCCCAAAGCGGGUUGUAAACUCCAUCUAAGGCUAAAUACCGGCACGAGACCGAUAGCGGACAAGUACCGUGAGGGAAAGUU